GGGGAGCAGAGAUCAUAGAUAGAGGGUGGGAGGAACAGAGGGUCAUUCUUUGGGCGGAGUCGGCUGGAGAGCUCGGGGUCGUCUGGGCGGGUCCACAACGCUUUGUAGUCCCGACAGAAGCAGACGCCAAGUGAUGCGGCAUCCUCCUGGGCCCUGAAGGCCGGGAAAGGCUGCCCUCUCGCCCACGGCAGGCCCACUUCCACUGGGCUUCUUCUCUCACAAUGGGAGGUCAGCCAGGGGCUUUCCCAGAAUCUGCACGAAGGAAUUUCCCCCAAACCAGGAUCAUGUUGAAUAUCCACAAGGAGACACAUGAGGGCCUGAUGAGCUUCUGGACUUUGACUUUGGCCAACCUAGAGUUGCUGGGACUAACGGUGACAGCCUGAAAAGCACUCAGGAGGAAGGUGGUCCCAAUGGAGAGGCCCCGGCUGACCCUUUGGACGUAAAAGACCAUUUUACAGCCUAGGUUUCCCAAUCGCUGCAGGUUGUUCAGGAUCACUGCAUUGACCCUAAUGGAGAAGUCCAUUAUGUUCUCUUGUACCACAAUGUAUCCGUCUCUGUACCAUG